rnacentral:rRNA from 1 species
UUAUGGAGAGGAUCAGCCCUCGGGCCCCUCGUCUACAAUGCGGAUGCAAUGCCUUGACUGGCUAAGCGGGUCGACCUCGUCGCCGCACAACCUUUUUCAAAAGUCCAUACUUCAUGCCUACAAUGAAUUACCGAAGUAAUACAACCCAUAGCGUUGGAUCUCUUGGCACGUCAUUCGAUGAAGACCGUUGCAAAAUGCGAUAAGUGGUGUGAUAUGCAAGUCCAAAACUUAUACGUGAACCAUCGAAUCGUUGAACGCACUGCAUCGAUCCUUACCCAGGAACGAUACGCCCCAUUGAGCGUCAUCAUGUCCGUCGCGACCUCGUCUCCACCGACGUCGUCCGAGUUCGGGACUCACGGCCGCAAGGUCGCGCCUCCUCAGAUGCCUCUGCCGCGCACGACCGUACGCCGGCGUCCUUGUCAUGAGUGUCGAGGACAGACGGCAGGACCUGCGCAUGAUCGCCGUCCAUGGCGCAUCAGACCGACUCCUCCGAGUCGCCUUCACGACAUGACCUCACGGGGGGUGGGACGACCCGCUAGACUUAAGCAUA